UACGUAGGGGGCGAGCGUUGUCCGAAUUUACUGGGCGUAAAGCGCACGUAGGCGGAUCGUUAAGUCAGGGGUGAAAUCCUGGGGCUCAACCCCAGAACUGCCUUUGAUACUGGCGAUCUCGAGUCCGGAAGAGGUGAGUGGAACUCCUAGUGUAGAGGUGGAAUUCGUAGAUAUUCGCAAGAACACCAGUGGCGAAGGCGGCUCACUGGCCCGGUACUGACGCUGAGGUGCGAAAGCGUGGGGAGCAAACAGG
rnacentral:rRNA from 1 species